UACGUAGGCAGCGAGCGUUGUUCGGAAUUACUGGGCGUAAAGAGUGUGUAGGCGGUGUUCUAAGUCUGUUGUGAAAUCUCCCGGCUCAACUGGGAGGGUGCAGCGGAAACUGGAAUGCUAGAGUGUGGGAGAGGUAAGCGGAAUUCCUGGUGUAGCAGUGAAAUGCGUAGAUAUCAGGAGGAACACCGGCGGCGAAGGCGGCCCUCUGGACCGUUGCUGACGCUGAGACGCGAAAGCGUGGGGAGCAAACAGG
rnacentral:rRNA from 1 species